rnacentral:lncRNA from 1 species
AUGCGAUAUGCAGGUAACCCUUCCCGGAGCUGCCCCCGCAGCCCCUCACCGCCAGCCCUCACAGCUCGGGGGCCAUCAGAGCCCCCCCAGAGGCGGCGUGCGGCUGCCCGGCCCCGGCCGCCCCCCUCUCCCCGCAGCUCACCGCCGCCUCCCUCGCACGGGCAGGGCCGGGCCGAGCCCAGGCACAGCGAAGCAGAGCCCCGAAGCCUCCCGGCCGGCCGAGCGCCCCGGGCACGCCGCCGCCCGAGCAGGGGAGGGACGAGGCGGGGAGGGGACGGGGGCGGCCCUGCCUCUGUCCCCGUCCCGUCCCCUCGGCCCCAGGCGCAUGCGCGGGGGGGCAGGCACAUGGCGGCGGCCGCCAUUUCGUGCCCAGGCGGGCCUCGUCCCGCGGCUAAAAUGGGGUGGGGUGGCGUUUACCCCUCGAUUUUCACGUUUUUUCCUGACUUGAAGUACAUGUAUCGUCGUCUCUUUGUUCAGCCAGACGGGUUCUGGCCCUCAGUAACCCUACAGGCCUUUCAGGCAGCUGUUUGAUCCAGGCAUAGCAUUGCCCUGCUCCGUUGACAGCAAGUCUCGGGGAAGUGGUGCUGUGGUGCCACAGUGAGGGACUUGUCCGUGGGCACAGAUGCCCAAAAAUCGCCCAGGAGUGACAGACACCCAUUGUAUGGCCAUCCACUUCUGCCACCCCCAGAAAAGCUUUGGCUCAUCCAUCCAAAGUUAAAUAACUAUGCCUCAACAAGAGGUUGAGCGUGGGCACAUUUCACAGACUGCUUCUCAGAUAUCCAGCAGACAAAAAGGGUCUAUGAACAGUGUGGCGUUCUGCUGCUUGCUACACGAAUCCGGCUUCUUCAAGCUGCCCUGACAGGGCCCAAAGAUUUGGUGGGUCAUGUCUGAAUGGGAGAUGCCAAAAACAGACAUUUUGUUCAAGACCUAUAUCAUAAUAAACAGAUUUUCUGUACAUACAGCUUUGUACUAAUCAGUGUUUCUUUGUGACCGUAAUUAUAUCAACCAUGCUAAAUUUAUCA